GUGGGGAAUAUUGGACAAUGGGGGGAACCCUGAUCCAGCCAUGCCGCGUGUGUGAAGAAGGCCUUUUGGUUGUAAAGCACUUUAAGCGAGGAGGAGGCUACCGAGAUUAAUACUCUUGGAUAGUGGACGUUACUCGCAGAAUAAGCACCGGCUAACUCUGUGCCAGCAGCCGCGGUAAUACAGAGGGUGCAAGCGUUAAUCGGAUUUACUGGGCGUAAAGCGCGCGUAGGUGGCCAAUUAAGUCAAAUGUGAAAUCCCCGAGCUUAACUUGGGAAUUGCAUUCGAUACUGGUUGGCUAGAGUAUGGGAGAGGAUGGUAGAAUUCCAGGUGUAGCGGUGAAAUGCGUAGAGAUCUAGAGGAAUACCGAUGGCGAAGGCAGCCAUCUGGCCUAAUACUGACACUGAGGUGCGAAAGCAUGGGGAGCAAACAGGAUUAGAUACCCGGGUAGUCC
rnacentral:rRNA from 1 species